UUACUUUGGCAGCACAUAUACUAAAACUGGAACAAUGCAGAGAAGAUUAGCAUGGUCCCUGCACGGGGACGACACACAAAUUCGUGAAGCCUUCCAUAUUUUU
rnacentral:snRNA from 1 species